UACUAGAGUAGCACUCGCAUAUCAAUAAGCGGAGGAAAAGAAACUAACAAGGAUUCCCCUAGCAACGGCGAGUGAAGCGGGAAGAGCUCAAAUUUGAAAUCUUAAAGGGUUUCCCUUUACGAAUUGUAGUUUAAAGAAGUGUUUUCUGUUGAGGUUUUGGUAAAAGUUCUUUGGAAUAGGACAUCAUAGAGGGUGAGAAUCCCGUAUUUGACCUUUACUUUCAACUUUGUGAUACACUUUCAAAGAGUCGGAUUGUUUGGGAAUGCAGUCCCAAAAUGGGUGGUAAAUUUCAUCUAAAGCUAAAUAUUGGCGAGAGACCGAUAGCGAACAAGUACCGUGAGGGAAAGAUGAAAAGAACUUUGAAAAGAGAGUUAAACAGUACGUGAAAUUGUCAAAAGGGAAGCGUUUGACACCAGUGUUGUUUUUCUGAAAAUCAAUUAAAGAACUGUUUAUGCUAAGUUGUUUAGACUUUAUCAGCUAACUGUUUAGUUUUGAGCUUUUCUUUAAUGCACUUUUCAGUUAACAAGUCAACAUCAAUUUCUUUUGCGGUAAAAAAGCUUGAGGAAGGUGGCUUGAGAUUCGUCUUAAGUGUUUAUAGCCUCUUGCCUAUGCAGUCGGAGAGAUUGAGGUCUGCAGCGUAGAUCCUUCGGGGCUAAAUGCAUUUGUGCUAAGUUAUAGCAUUUUAUAGACAACUUGUUGACUAUGAUUUGUCUUGUAGCUUACUCGCUUAUGUUAUUUUACCUACGCUUAGGAUGUUGAUAUCGCGCUCUCACUG
rnacentral:rRNA from 1 species